rnacentral:rRNA from 1 species
UAUCCGGAAUUAUUGGGCGUAAAGGGCUCGUAGGCGGUUCGUCGCGUCCGGUGUGAAAGUCCAUCGCUUAACGGUGGAUCCGCGCCGGGUACGGGCGGGCUUGAGUGCGGUAGGGGAGACUGGAAUUCCCGGUGUAACGGUGGAAUGUGUAGAUAUCGGGAAGAACACCAAUGGCGAAGGCAGGUCUCUGGGCCGUCACUGACGCUGAGGAGCGAAAGCGUGGGGAGCGAACAGGAUUAGAUACCCUGGUAGUCCACGCCGUAAACGGUGGAUGCUGGAUGUGGGGACCAUUCCACGGUCUCCGUGUCGGAGCCAACGCGUUAAGCAUCCCGCCUGGGGAGUACGGCCGCAAGGCUAAAACUCAAAGAAAUUGACGGGGGCCCGCACAAGCGGCGGAGCAUGCGGAUUAAUUCGAUGCAACGCGAA